rnacentral:misc_RNA from 1 species
GAUGAAGAACGUAGCGAAAUGCGAUACUUGGUGUGAAUUGCAGAAUCCCGUGAACCAUCGAGUCUUUGAACGCAAGUUGCGCCCGAAGCCAUUAGGCCGAGGGCACGCCUGCCUGGGCGUCACACGUCGUUGCCCCCCCAUCUACUCCUUCGGGAUUGCGGGGGGCGGAUGAUGGCCUCCCGUGCGCCUCGUCGCGCGGUUGGCCUAAAUGCCAAGUCCUCGGCGACGCACGCCACGACAAUCGGUGGUUGCGAAACCUCGGUUGCCCGUCGUGUGCGGUCGUCGCGCAUCGAGGGCUCGAAAAAAUUGCCGGGCUUCGGCUCGACUUUCAACGCGACCCCAGGUCAGGCGGGGUUACCCGCUGAAUUUAAGCAUAUCAAUAAGCGGAGGU